rnacentral:ncRNA from 1 species
GGUAAGUUUUAUUCUUACUUAAAUAUUUAUUUUGAGAAAAUAUUAUAUGUAAGUUGAUGCAUUUUAUUAAUUCUAAAGGAUGUAAUAAAUUAAAAUAUUACAGUAAUAAAUAUUACUGAUUUAAGUAAUUUUGAGUUAGUUAUUUUCAUUAAAUAUUGAUUAAAUAUGUGCCAGCAUUCGCGGUUAUACAUAAAAUGUUAAUAAAUAUUAUUGGUUUGUAGUUAUUAUAAUAUAAUUAAUUUAUUUUGAAUAUUUUUGGGUGAAAUCUAAUUAUUCUUUUUUUUUAAAAAUAAAUUUAAGAACCUAUGAAAUUUAAUUAUAAAAACUAGGAUUAGAUACCCUAUUAUUUUAAAUUUAAAGAUAAAACUUGAGUAGUAUUAGUUAUGAUCUUGAAACUUAAAGAAUUUGGCGGUAUCUUAGUCUAUUUAGAGGAAUCUGUCCCAUUAUCGAUAAUCCACGUUGGACCUUACUUAAUUUAAGAGUAUGUAUACCGCCGUUUAUUUGAAAAUCUUAUAAGGGUUAAAUUUUCUUAAUAUAAAAUUUUAUAAUAUUUCAGGUCAAGGUGCAGCUUAUAAUUAAGUGGUGAUGGAUUACAAUAUAUUUAUAAAUGAAUUAUGAAUUGUAAAAUUAAUAUGAAGGUGGAUUUAAUAGUAAUUUUAAUGAGAUUAUUAAUAUGAUUUUGGCUCUAAGAUGUGUACACAUCGCCCGUCACUCUCGUUAAUUAAGGUGAGAUAAGUCGUAACAAAGUAGGUGUACCGGAAGGUGUAGCUAGAAUAAU